UACGGGGGGGGCAAGCGUUGUUCGGAAUUACUGGGCGUAAAGGGCUCGUAGGCGGCCAACUAAGUCGGAUGUGAAAUCCCCAGGCUUAACCUGGGAACUGCAUCCGAUACUGGAUGGCUUGAAUCCGGGAGAGGGAUGCAGAAUUCCAGGUGUAGCGGUGAAAUGCGUAGAUAUCUGGAGGAAUACCGGUGGCGAAGGCGGCAUCCUGGACCGGCAUUGACGCUGAGGCGCGAAAGCUAGGGGAGCGAACGGG
rnacentral:rRNA from 1 species